rnacentral:rRNA from 1 species
GAUGAACGCUGGCGGCGUGCCUAAUACAUGCAAGUCGAGCGAACAGACGAGUAGCUUGCUCCUCUGACGUUAGCGGCGGACGUGUGAGUAACAUAUGGAUAACCUACCUAUAAGACUGGGAUAACUUCGGGAAACCGGAGCUAAUACCGUGUUCUUUCUUCAACCGCAUGGUUCAAUAGUUGCAGACGGUUUUGCUGUCACUUCUGCCUGUAUCCGCGCCGCAUGAGCUAUUUGGUAAGGUAACGGCUUACCAAAGCAACGAUGCGUAGCCGACCUGAGAGGGUGAUGCGGCACACUGGAACUGAGACACGGUCCAGACUCCUACGGGAGGCAGCAGUAGGGAAUCUUCCGAGAUGGGCGAAAGCCUGACGGAGCAACGCCGCGUGGGUGAUGAAGGUCUGCGGAUCGUAAAACUCUGUUAUUAGGGUAGAACAAAUGUGUAAGUAACGAUGCACGUCUUGACGGUACCUAAUCAGAAAGCCACGGCUAACUACGUG